CUGGAGUGCAGUGGUGCAAUCAUGGCUGACUCGGAGUAGCUGAGACCACAGGAAUAGUCAAGCUGGAGCUCAAGGCUUCUGUGUAAGAUUCUGAGGGCUCUGAAGCCACUGUUCUGUGAGGAAGCCCAUAGUAGCCUACAUGGAGGAGCCACACGGAGAAGCCCUGUGACUGCCUGACCAGUUCCCAGAUGCCGCUGACAUUCCAGCUCCAACUACCAUCUGACUGCAUCCUCACAAGGGGCCUCGACCCAGAUUCACCCAGCUAAGCCUCUCCUGAAUUGCUGACACACAGAAACCAUGAGAAAAAAAUAAAAUCAUUAUUGUUGUUUUAAGCCCACUAAUUUUGGACUGGCUUGGUAGGCAGCUGUAGAUAACCAGAGCCUUUGUCCACAGCCUUGUCCCAUCUGUGUCUCAGAAGACAGAAAAUGGUAACCUUCAUUCUUCCAUUCACUCAACAAAUAUUGAAGCAUUGUGCUUGGUGUUUGGGAUACAUCAGUGAACAAAGCACACAAAAUUCCCUGUGCACGCUGAACUUACAAAGAACAAUGAGUCAGUGACACAGUAGGUAAGAAGAUGGCAAGUGGAAGAAAAGUCAAACCAGGAAAGGGGAAAGGCAGUGGCCGUAGGGAUCUUGGAAU
rnacentral:lncRNA from 1 species